AGCAGUAGCCGCGGGAAUACGUAGGGUGCGAGCGUUAAUCGGAAUUACUGGGCGUAAAGCGUGCGCAGGCGGUUCGUUAAGACAGAUGUGAAAUCCCCGGGCUUAACCUGGGAAUGGCAGUGGAUACUGGCUCGCUAGAGUGUGUCAGAGGAUGGUGGAAUUCCCGGUGUAGCGGUGAAAUGCGUAGAGAUCGGGAGGAACAUCAGUGGCGAAGGCGGCCAUCUGGGACAACACUGACGCUGAGGCACGAAAGCGUGGGGAGCAAACAGGAUUAGAUACCCGCGUAGUCCCUGUCUCUUAUAC
rnacentral:rRNA from 1 species